rnacentral:sRNA from 1 species
AUAUUUAUAUUUGAUAAAUCUUUUUUUCAUUUUGAGAACUCAAAAUACCAAACAGUGAACUUGCAUUCUAAAGUCACCCUGUGAUCACCUUGUCAUCUAGUAGCAAAAUGAUGAACUAUUCAUGCAUCAAAGAAAAUUACAUCUGCUGGCCUUGUAUGAAAAUGAUCUCUUGGCAUCCCGAUUAAAUGACACACUGUCACUGUGGACUCAAACUGUUAAGACAGCUGCAGUUUCUAAAGAAAUACAAAGAUUGCCGUGGAUGCACUCAAAGGUUUCAUUGUUUUAACACCUUUAAGGGAGAAA